rnacentral:rRNA from 1 species
GAUGAACGCUGGCGGCGUGCCUAAUACAUGCAAGUCGAGCGAACGGACGAGAAGCUUGUUUCUCUGAUGUUAGCGGCGGACGGGUGAGUAACACGUGGAUAACCUACCUAUAAGACUGGGAUAACUUCGGGAAACCGGAGCUAAUACCGGAUAAUAUCUUGAACCGCAUGGUUCAAAAGUGAAAGACGGUCUUGCUGUCACUUAUAGAUGGAUCCGCGCUGCAUUAGCUAGUUGGUAAGGUAACGGCUUACCAAGGCAACGAUGCAUAGCCGACCUGAGAGGGUGUUCGGCCACACUGGAACUGAGACACGGUCCAGACUCCUACGGGAGGCAGCGGUAGGGAAUCUUGCGCAAUGGGCGAAAGCCUGCCGGAGCAACGCCGCGUGGGUGAUGAAGGUCUUCGGAUCGUAAAACUCUGUUAUUAGGGAAGAACAUAUGUGUAAGUAACUGUGCACAACUUGACGGUACCUAAUCAGAAAGCCACGGCUAACUACGUG